rnacentral:rRNA from 1 species
UACGUAGGGGGCCAGCGUUGUUCGGAAUUACUGGGUGUAAAGGGUUCGUAGGCGGUGCGGCAAGUUGGGAGUGAAAUCUCUGGGCUUAACCCAGAGGCUGCUUUCAAAACUGCUGUGCUUGAGUGUGAGAGAGGCUCGUGGAAUUGCAGGUGUAGCGGUGAAAUGCGUAGAUAUUCGCAAGAACACCAGUGGCGAAGGCGGCUCACUGGCCCGGUACUGACGCUGAGGCACGAAAGCGUGGGGAGCAAACAGG